ensembl:lncRNA
GUUGUCUGGCGCAACCACCUGACAAUCACAACGUAUUAGGUUACCACUUGCGCGAUGUCCACCUGUUAGUUGUCAUGGCGGAAAAAUCAGCGAUGAGGCCUUCUUGCUGCCGGUCUCUGCAUGAUUGAAGAAGGCAAUGAGCUCCAUCGGGUCUUUUUAAAAAUGGCGGAUGGGGAGACAAGCCGUGCUGCAAUCCACUCCCAGUUAGACGGGGUCUGUUCAGGCCUCUGUCAGCUCCACAAUGCCCUGGGGGACAUGAAGGACAUCCAGAACUCUGGCAGAAGUCAGCAAUGACUGGAGGCAAGGCAUCAACACCAUUGAACGUGCAGUAUGUAAAAUAUGCUGGGAUGCAACACAGUCAGCUAACCUCAGCCAUGGAGAACUUGGAAGAAUAUAUUUUCAGAGCCGAAACGGACAUGACUUUUCACUGUGAAAGAGGCUGUAUCUACGUAUUCGGCAACGUCCUUGCACUUUGAAAAACCAAUGAUGUCGAGGUCAGUGAAAGUGAGGGAAGUGAUAUGGAGAAUCAGAGCUCAGCAACAAAAGGCAGUGAGUAAGAGGAGUUACAGAUGAUUGGAGGGAUAGAGAUGUGGAGCGAGGAGUGGAGUGAGAGUAGAGUGGAGGGGGAGAGGAGAGUGUCCUUGGUUUUUGAGCCAUGCAUGUUUGAAAUGUGUGAGAAAAUUAGCUUUAACUUGAAAGUUCUCAGUAAUCUACAGCAGCAUUCUAUAAUUCUAU